UACGGAGGGAGCUAGCGUUGUUCGGAAUUACUGGGCGUAAAGCGCACGUAGGCGGCUAUUCAAGUCGGGGGUGAAAGCCCGGGGCUCAACCCCGGAACUGCCCUCGAAACUAGAUAGCUAGAAUCUUGGAGAGGCGAGUGGAAUUCCGAGUGUAGAGGUGAAAUUCGUAGAUAUUCGGAAGAACACCAGUGGCGAAGGCGACUCGCUGGACAAGUAUUGACGCUGAGGAGCGAAAGCGUGGGGAGCGAACAGG
rnacentral:rRNA from 1 species